rnacentral:misc_RNA from 1 species
UUUCCGUAGGUGAACCUGCGGAAGGAUCAUUAUCGAAUUUCGAGGGGAAGGAAGAUGAGGAGUGGAGACUGUCGCUGGCUUCCCCGCCUGGGAAGCAUGUGCACGCCUUGCUUUUCGUUGACCUUUCUCUUACUCUCACACCUGUGCACCCAUUGUAGGUCCUCGAAAGAGGAUCUAUGUUUUUAUCAUCACACGCAUCGUAUGUCCAUAGAAUGUAACAUGAUCGUCGAUCGACCUCGCGGUCGGGUGGCGGUCUAAAUAAAUACAACUUUCAGCAACGGAUCUCUUGGCUCUC